ACUUAUUUUAACAUACAUUUUCUUCGUAUGGAUUAUAGCUACAAGUUUAUAAAAGUUACGUAGAAAUAUUUUAAAAUCUGAAAAGCCCGAAUGGGUUGUAAAUAGGUCAAUUUUACACCUUGAAAUGUGGACGUAUAUUGCCGUCGCCCCCAUCUGUCUGUCGGUCCGUCCAUCGUCCACAAUUUCUUGUAAACGCUCUAACGCCAAAAGUUAUCAUCCAAUUGUUUUAAAAUUGAUAUAUGUUGUUUACAUUUGUGAGAUGAAGAAGCCUAUUUAAUUUCAAUAAUUUCUGUUUAUUAUGUCUAGAGUUAUGGCCCUUGUUUCACUUUGUUGAACCUUGUGAACGCUCUAACGCCAAAAGUUAUCAUCCGAUCUUUCUGAAAUUUAUAUGCAUUAUUUAGAUUACUGAAACGAAGAAGCCUAUUGAAUUUCAGCAAUUUCCGUUUAUUAUGUCUAGAGUUAUGGCCCUUGUUUCACUUUAUUGAUCCUUGUGAACGCUCAAACUUCAAAAGUUAUCAUCCGAUCUUUCUGAAAUUUAUUUGCAUUAUUUUGAUUACUGAAACGAAGAAGCCUAUUGAAUUUCAGAAAUUUCCGUUAAUUACGUCUAGAGUUAUGGCCCUUGUUUCACUUUAUUUAUCCUUGUGAACGCUCAAACUUCAAAAGUUAUCAUCCGAUCUUUCUGAAAUUUAUUUGCAUUAUUUUGAUUACUGAAACGAAGAAGCCUAUUGAAUUUCAGCAAUUUACGUUAAUUACGUCUAGAGUUAUGGCCCUUGUUUCACUUUAUUUAUCCUUGUGAACACUCUAACGUCAAAAGUUAUCAUUCGAUCUUUCUGAAAAUUAUAUGCAUUAUUUAAAUUAGUGAGACGAAAAAGCCUAUUGAAUUUCAGCAAUUUAUGGCCCUUGUUUCACUUUAUUGAACCUUGUGAACGCUCCAACACCCAAAGUUAUCACCCAAUCUUUGUGAAAUGUAUAUGCAUUAUUAAGAUUAGUGAAAAGAAGAAGCCUAUUGAAUUUCAGCAAUUUCCGAUUAUUACGUCUAGAGUUAUGGCUAGAGGUGGGCGAUAUAACCGGUAUACCGGUGUAUUGCGAUUCAAACUUGCCAAUACAUCAUAUCGUGAUACACGUCCAAGAACCGGUUCAGUCAAUACGAUCGGCAACUUCCGUAAUAAUUAUCGGAAUAUUCCGUGAGAUUGUCAAUUUUAUUGAAAACUUGAGAAUUUCCUUAAUAAUAUUACACACUAAUAGUUGCGAGAAUGUCAUUUGGUCAUUUAAGAAAUAAAACUAUGCUUUAUUUAUGGCUAAACCAUGUAAAUUAAAAAAAGAUAGUCUCGUUCAUCUUUCGUUGUCCCGUAAACAAACCAAAAUGGCGGGCGUCGAAGCAGACGCCAAUUUUACAAAAGUGGCCAAUACUAAGGCAAAAGCUGGUAUCUGGAAACAUUUCAGUUUGAAGAAAAUGAAAACAGAUGGGCAUUUAAUGUUGAAUGUUGCAUUAUGCAAUAAAUGUAACGCGGAAGUGAGGUAUUCCGGGGGGACAACAAAUUUAAACACGCACAUGAGGCGACACUAUUCGUUUACAAUAGGCCUAUCAUCACAAUCAAAUGAAUCGAAAUCUGUCAGUAACACAACACUAUACAGUCAAGCUCCCAGCAGGUUUCUACUGUCAAAAAACGAGAGUCAAGCACGAUCUCAGGAUAUUUUGGAAACACAACCAAAUACAGCUCAAAAUCAAUACGUGCUUUAUUAAUCACGGACAAGAUUGCUAACUUUAUUGUGAAAGAUCUCAGGCCUUUUCGAAUUGUUGAAUCAAAGGAAUUUCGAGAAUUAUUAUCUACUUUGGACCCACGAUAUCAAGUCCCGAGUCGUAAGCAGUUCUCUGAAAUAAUCAUCCCUAAGAUGUAUGAAGAAAUGAAACUACUUGUUCAGAAGGACUUGUCAUCAGCUGAAACGGUAGCACUUACAACAGAUGGCUGGUCCUCACGUGCAACAGAAUCAUACAUGACGAUUACUUCCGUCCACAUUAAUGUUGAUUGGGAGCUUGUGAACUAUGUGCUGCAAAUACGUGCACUCCCAGAAAGUCACACAGGUGAACAUGUGGCAGAGGUUCUAAACGAAGCAGUUACUGAAUGGAACUUGCCAGCAAUUGAUGGAGCCCCUCCCUUGGUUACCGACAAUGCAAGUAACAUGUUGAAAGCAGGAAAACUUUUCGAAACCAAGCUGCAUGUCACCUGCUUUGCUCACACACUUAACCUUGCCUGUCAAAAAUGUCUAAAAGUAAAGCGUGUGAGUCAUCUACUUGCUAGGAUUAGGCAACUGGUCUCGUACUUUCAUCGAAGCAACAUGGCAUCAGCAGUAUUGAAAACUAAAGCCCAUCUUCUUUCUGUACCAGAGCACAAACUCAUCAUCGACGUGUGUACCCGUUGGAACAGCUCUUACGACAUGUUACAGCGAUUCCUCGAAAUGCAUGUGGCUGUUUUUGCUACACUUCGGUCCAAAGAGUUAAAAGUUAAGGACUAUAAGUCUUUUUCAGAUGAAGACCUUACACUAGCUGAAGAGGUUACCAAGCUUCUCAAGCCCCUGAAGGAUGUGACAGUUGCUCUGUGUUCAGAAAAGAUUCCCACGGUUUCUCUCAUCAUGCCUUUACAACAUCAGCUGAUGAACUGAGUUUUAGUGCUAUCUGAUGACGACUCUCCAAUGAUCCAGGAGAUGAAAGAAUCUCUGAUUGAAGACCUGAAAAAUAGGUAUCUUGAACAAAAACCAAUGCUGUACAUAUGCUCUGCCUUAGAUCCAAGGUUCAAGAUGUUACCCUUCCUCUCAGAAGAAAUCCGCUUUGAUGUCUUCAACCAGGUUGCAGCUAAAGCUGCUACGAUUCACAUCAAUAGUCCUGCAAAGAAACUCAAGAUCAAGAAAGAAAUUGAUCCAGCACUUCCUGAACUUCCUACUCUGCCAGAUGAUCCCACAGAAGAUGAUGGACAUGAUGGAAAAGAUGCAGAUGCAGUAGUAUGUCCAAUUUUCCCAUCACCUUUGAAGAAGAUCAAGCAGGAGCCAGAAAGUUGCGGAAGUACCAGCAAUUUCCUUGGUGACAUCUUUGAGGAGGUAUAUAUCUGUGGACAAGAUCCACGUCAAAAGCAAAGCCCACAUGUUCUUGCUCAAAACGAAUGUAAACUUUACAACGAGCUACCCCCGAUUGCUCUCACAGAGUGCCCGCUGGCAUGGUGGAAACAAAAUGAAUACAGGCUUCCAGUUUUAGCAAGACUUGCUAAACAAGUCUUGUGCAUUCCUGCUACUAGUGUACCCUCAGAACGUGUGUUUUCUACGGCUGGCAACAUUUUAACAGCUCAAAGAGCUACACUGAAAUCCAAACAUGUUGAUGUUCUCCUGUUCUUGAAAAAAAACUCAAAAUGACUUGUGCGGCUAUUGCCUCAAUAGUGAAAGUGGUUACAUUGUCACAAACUGACACUAAGUAGAUUUUUACUCAACUUUUUUGACAGACAAUCAUUAGAAUAAUGUCUCACUUGCUUUUUAAGUUGUUCACCAGUUAAGGAGUUUUUACCAGUAAAGAGGUUUUAACCAGUUAAGAAGUUUUAAAUUGUUAACAAUGUUAUUCAAGUUUGAAGUGUUGAGAUUUCCAGGUGCCUUAUUCUAGUCACUCCUCAGUCCUCAGUUAAGACUUUGUUGUGACUUGUGAAGUUGUGAGUGACAAGACAAUCAUUUCAAAACUAUUUUGAAUUGAUCAUUGAAUGACAUUUAAUCAUUGAUAGAUAUUAUUCUGCAAUGUACUCAUUGUACUAUCAGUCUGUCAGACUGUCACUCCCAGUGUCACAUUGGACAUUUUUUCAAAGAUUACUUAUUGUUGAAAGAAAGAAAUAAACACAUGGGUUUUGUGGAUAUCUUGUUCUUGUAGUUGACUAGUUGUACAAUAGAGGAAUUGCAUGUUCAAA